UAUAUUAAGGUGUUUUGCAUUGAGAAUUUUGAUUUCUCGGGUAAUAGAAGAAUUUCUAUUUAAUAUAA
rnacentral:tRNA from 1 species